rnacentral:rRNA from 1 species
UGGGGAAUAUUGGGCAAUGGGGGAAACCCUGACCCAGCGACGCCGCGUGGGGGAAGAAGGCCUUCGGGUCGUAAACCUCUGUCAGGAGGGAAGAAGUGGCAUGUUCCGAACAGGGAUGUGCUUUGACGGUACCUCCAGAGGAAGCACCGGCUAACUCCGUGCCAGCAGCCGCGGUAAUACGGAGGGUGCAAGCGUUAUUCGGAAUCACUGGGCGUAAAGCGCACGUAGGCGGCCAGGCAAGUCAGGUGUGAAAGCCCUCGGCUCAACCGGGGAACUGCACUUGAAACUGCUUGGCUGGAGUCCUGGAGAGGGUGGCGGAAUUCCGGGUGUAGGAGUGAAAUCCGUAGAUAUCCGGAGGAACACCGGUGGCGAAGGCGGCCACCUGGACAGGUACUGACGCUGAGGUGCGAAAGCGUGGGGAGCAAACA